GCUGAUCCUACUGGCGGGAACUGCUAUCGAAAUACGAUUAGACAUGCAAGUCGCAAGUGUCCGGUAAGGAUGCUUGGCGCACGGCUCAGUAACACGUAGCUAAUCUACCCUCAUGAAGGGCCGAUCCCGGGAAACUGGGGGCGAUGCCUUAUAGAUGAUAUAUACUGGAAUGUUUUACCAUCGAAAGGGAACAACCUAUUACCGGUUGUGUUCGCAUGAGGAUGAGGCUGCGGCGCAUUAGGUAGUUGGCGGGGUAACUGCCCACCAAGCCUAUGAUGCGUACGGGCCCUGAAAGGGGGCGCCCGGAGAAGGGAACUGAGAUAAGGUCCCUAGCCCUACGGGGUGCAGCAGUUUCGAAGUCUUUACACUGCGCGAAAGCGCGAUAGGGGUAUUUCGAGUGACCACACUGUGGUCUUUUGCUAAGCCUAAAAAGCUUGGCGAAUAAAGGGGGGGUAACAUACGUGCCAGCCGCCGCGGUAAUACGUAGUCCCUAAGUGGUUUCCACUUGUAUUGGGCCUAAAACACCUGUAGCUGGUAUAGUAAGUCUUUGGUGAAAUCAGUUCGCUCAACGAAUUGAAUUGCUAAAGAUACUGCUAUGCUUGGGGAAGGAAGACGUGAAGGGAAUUUUUAGGGUAGCGGUGAAAUGCGAUGAUCCUAAAAAGACCUCCAGUAGCGAAGGCGCUUCACGAGAACUAUCCCGACAGUGAGAGAUGAAAGCUGGGGGAGCGACCAGGAUUAGAUACCCUGUUAGUCCCAGCUGUAAACGAUGUAGACUAGGUGUUCCUUUUCCCUCGUGGACUAGGAGUGCCGACGCGAAGGCAAUAAGUCUACUGCCUGGGGAGUAUGCUCGCAAGAGUGAAACUCAAUGGAAUUGGCGGGGGCUCACACAAGGGGUGGAUGUUGCGGUUUAAUUGGAUGCAACGCCAGAAAAUCUUACCAGGGAAGACAGCCGAGUGAUUGACAGUCUGAAGGGCUUUCAUGACACGCUGAGAGGUCCUGUAUGGCCACCGCCAGCUCGUACCGUGAGGCUUCCUGUUAACUCAGGCAACGGGCGAGACCAACGCUCCUAGUUGCUACCCAGGGUUUGUCUUGGGGCACUCUAGGGGGACUGCCAGAGUAAUCUGGAGGAAGGGGUUGUCAACGGUAGGUCUGUAUGAGCCGAAUUUCCUGGGCAACACGCGACACACAAUGGAUAAUACAAUUGGAUGCUAACCCGAAAGGGGGCGCUAAUCCCGGAAAGUUAUCCUCAGUUCGGAUUGAGGGCUGUAACCUGCCCUCAUGAAGUUGGAAUCCCCAGUAAUCGCGUGUCAUUAACGCGCGGUGAAUAAAUCCCUGAGCCUUGCACACACCGCCCAUCAAGCCAGCCGAGUGGAGUCUGGAUGAGUACAGGCCGUUAAGGCUUGUCCGAUUCUUGGUUUCGCGAGGGGGGCUAAGUUGUAACAAGGUG
rnacentral:rRNA from 1 species